rnacentral:tRNA from 1 species
GCCGGGGUGGUGGAAUGGCAGACACACCGCGCUCAGAACGCGACGCGCCAUCGUGCGCAUGAGGGUUCGACUCCCUCUCCCGGCACCC